GCUGGGUGUGUUGGCACACACCUGUAGUCCCAGCUACUCAGGAGGCUGAGGCAGGAGUUCGCUUGAGCCCAGGAGCUUGAGGCUGCAGUGAGUUGUGAUCAUGCCACUGCACUCCAGCCUGGGCAACAGAGCAAGAUCCUGUUUCAG
rnacentral:SRP_RNA from 1 species